AAAAGGAGUCUGGAGAGGCUUGGACAGCACACUUGAGAGAGCUGAGGCAAGCUACAAAGAGAACCGUCUGCCCUGAGGCAGAAGGCUUGACAGACAGGUACCUUGGAUACAAGGGCAAAUUCCAUGACUACCAUGGCUGACAAAAUGGACAUGUCAUUGGAAGACAUCAUUAAGCUGAACAAGAUGCAGCAAGGACGUCGUGACAGGCCUGAUUCCCGGGUGAAGCGAGGCACUGGGCCUAAGAGGUAUCGGCCAGCUUUCACCCAUGGUGGAAGGAACAGGCUGGCACCAUACUGCAGACCAAAACAACUUCCAGACAAGUGGCAGCAUGACCUAUUCAUUGGAGGCUUCAGGGGUCAAAACCACGUGGAUACUGGUGGGAAGCUGUUCCUGUCAAAUCUGCACUUCGGAGUGUCAGAUGCUGAUAUUCAGCUACUCUUUGCUGAAUUUGGAACGUUGAAAAAAUCUGCUGUGCACUAUGAUCGCUGUGGACGAAGUUUAGGGACAGCACAUGUGCACUUUGAAAGGAAAGCAGAUGCCCUGAAGGCUAUGAGAGAGUGCAAUGGCACCCCUUUGGAUGGCUG
rnacentral:lncRNA from 1 species